GCUCUUGUGGUGCAAUUGGCUAGUCGCGUUCGGCUAUUAGGGGCGGGUACACCGUCAGGGACACGUCCAAAGCAACCGGAAGGUUGGUGGUCCAAGCCCACCCAAGAGCG